rnacentral:misc_RNA from 1 species
AAAGUCGUAACAAGGUUUCCGUAGGUGAACCUGCGGAAGGAUCAUUACAGAGUUCAUGCCCUCACGGGUAGAUCUCCCACCCUUGAAUACUAUACCUUUGUUGCUUUGGCGGGCCGCCUUGGCUACUGGCUCUGGCUGGUAAGUGCCCGCCAAAGGACCCUAAAACUCUGAAUAUUAGUGUCGUCUGAGUACUAUAUAAUAGUUAAAACUUUCAACAACGGAUCUCUUGGUUCUG